rnacentral:rRNA from 1 species
AACGAACGCUGGCGGCAGGCUUAACACAUGCAAGUCGAACGGGCACCUUCGGGUGUCAGUGGCAGACGGGUGAGUAACGCGUGGGAACGUACCCUUCGGUUCGGAAUAACCCAGGGAAACUUGGGCUAACACCGGAUACGUCCGCAAGGAGAAAGAUUUAUCGCCGGAGGAUCGGCCCGCGUCGGAUUAGCUAGUUGGUGGGGUAAUGGCCCACCAAGGCGACGAUCCGUAGCUGGUCUGAGAGGAUGANCAGCCACACUGGGACUGAGACACGGCCCAGACUCCUACGGGAGGCAGCAGUGGGGAAUAUUGGACAAUGGGCGAAAGCCUGAUCCAGCCAUGCCGCGUGAGUGAAGAAGGCCUUAGGGUUGUAAAGCUCUUUCAGCGGGGAAGAUAAUGACGGUACCCGCAGAAGAAGUCCCGGCUAACUUCGUGCCAGCAGUCGCGGUAAG